rnacentral:rRNA from 1 species
AACGAACGCUGGCGGCAGGCCUAACACAUGCAAGUCGAACGCCCCCCCAGGGGGGCGGCGCUCGGGUGAGUGGCGCGUGGGAAAGUACCUUUUGGUUCGGCGCAACUCACGGAUACUGGGGCUAUAACCGGGGAAGACUUACCCGGGUAAGAUUUACCACCGAAGGAUCGGAGCGCGACUGAUUAGCUCGUUGGGCGGGUAAAGGCUCACCAAGCGGACGAUCUACAGCUGGUCUGAGAGGAUGAUCAGCGACACUUGGACUGAGACGCAGCGCAGAAUCCUACGGGAUGCAGCAGUGGGUAAUAUAGGACAAUGGGCGCAGGCCAGAUCGAGCCAGGCCGCGUGAGUGAUGAAGGCCGGAGGGUAGUAAAGCACGUUUAUCCGGGAAGGUAAUGACGGUACCGGAAGAAUAAGCCCCGGCUAACUUCGUG